rnacentral:tRNA from 1 species
UGGCUCAAAGGAGUAGGGCGCUGGCCCCAUAUGCCAGAGGUGGUGGGUUCAAACCCAC